rnacentral:rRNA from 1 species
UACGGGGGGGGGCAAGCGUUGUUCGGAAUUACUGGGCGUAAAGGGCUCGUAGGCGGCCAACUAAGUCGGAUGUGAAAUCCCCAGGCUUAACCUGGGAACUGCAUCCGACUACUGGAUGGCUUGAAUCCGGGGAGAGGGAUGGCAGAAUUCCAGGUGUAGCGGUGAAAAUGCGUAGAUAUCUGGAGGAACACCGGUGGCGAAGGCGGGUCUCUGGGCAUCUCCUGACGCUGAGGCGCGAAAGCGUGGGGAGCAAACGGG